rnacentral:tRNA from 1 species
UGGCUCAGAGGUUAAAGCAUCUGCCUGGAAUGCUGGAGACCCAGGUUCGAUCCCUGG